CAAUAGCGUAUAUUAAAGUUGUUGCGGUUAAAAAGCUCGUAGUUGGAUUUCUGCCGAGGACGACCGGUCCGCCCUCUGGGUGUGUAUCUGGUUUGGCCUGGGCAUCUUCUUGGAGAACGUAGCUGCACUUGACUGUGUGGUGCGGUGUCCAGGACUUUUACUUUGAGGAAAUUAGAGUGUUUCAAGCAGGCACACGCCUUGAAUACAUUAGCAUGGAAUAAUAAGAUAGGACCUCGGUUCUAUUUUGUUGGUUUCUAGAGCUGAGGUAAUGAUUAAUAGGGAUAGUUGGGGGCAUUCGUAUUUAACUGUCAGAGGUGAAAUUCUUGGAUCUGUUAAAGACGGACUACUGCGAAAGCAUUUGCCAAGGAUGUUUUCAUUGA
rnacentral:rRNA from 1 species